AACGAACGCUGGCGGCAUGCCUAACACAUGCAAGUCGAACGAGACCUUCGGGUCUAGUGGCGCACGGGUGCGUAACGCGUGGGAACCUGCCCUUAGGUUCGGAAUAACUCCCCGAAAGGGGUGCUAAUACCGGAUAAUGUCUUCGGACCAAAGAUUUAUCGCCUUUGGAUGGGCCCGCGUCGGAUUAGCUAGUUGGUAGGGUAAAAGCCUACCAAGGCGACGAUCCAUAGCUGGUCUGAGAGGAUGAUCAGCCACACUGGGACUGAGACACGGCCCAGACUCCUACGGGAGGCAGCAGUGGGGAAUAUUGGACAAUGGGCGGAAGCCUGAUCCAGCUAUGCCGCGUGAGUGAUGAAGGCCUUAGGGUUGUAAAGCUCUUUUACCCGGGAUGAUAAUGACGGUACCGGGAGAAUAAGCUCCGGCUAACUCCGUG
rnacentral:rRNA from 1 species